rnacentral:rRNA from 1 species
GGACCCGCACAAGUAGUGGAGCAUGUGGUUUAAUUCGAUGCAACGCGAAGAACCUUACCAGGGUUUGACAUCCUGCGAAUCUCUUGGAAACGAGAGAGUGCCUUCGGGAACGCAGUGACAGGUGGUGCAUGGCUGUCGUCAGCUCGUGUCGUGAGAUGUUGGUUAAGUCCCGCAACGAGCGCAACCCACGUCGUUAGUUGCCAGCAUUUAGUUGGGCACUCUAGCGAGACCGCCGGUGAUAAACCGGAGGAAGGUGUGGAUGACGUCAAGUCAUCAUGCCCCUUACAUCCUGGGCUACACACGUACUACAAUGCUACGGACAAAGGGCAGCAAACUCGCGAGAGCUAGCA